rnacentral:piRNA from 1 species
UCACUGUGGUCAGAAUUCGUUUGUUGCCU